rnacentral:rRNA from 1 species
GGAAUAUUGCACAAUGGACGAAAGCCUGACCCAGCAACGCCGCGUGGGCGAUGAAGGCCUUCGGGUCGUAAAGCCCUUUUGUGGGGGAAGAUGAUGACGGUACCCCACGAAUAAGCCACGGCUAACUACGUGCCAGCAGCCGCGGUAAUACGUAGGUGGCAAGCGUUGUCCGGAAUUAUUGGGCGUAAAGCGCGCGCAGGCGGUUCUUUAAGUCUGAUGUGAAAGCCCACGGCUCAACCGUGGAGGGUCAUUGGAAACUGGAGAACUUGAGUACAGAAGAGGAAAGCGGAAUUCCACGUGUAGCGGUGAAAUGCGUAGAGAUGUGGAGGAACACCAGUGGCGAAGGCGGCUUUCUGGUCUGUAACUGACGCUGAGGCGCGAAAGCGUGGGGAGCAAAC